GUGUCAGCAGCCGCGGUAAUACGAAGGGGGCUAGCGUUGUUCGGAAUUACUGGGCGUAAAGGGCGCGUAGGUGGCUUUGUAAGUCAGGAGUGAAAUCCCUGGGCUCAACCCAGGAAUUGCUUUUGAGACUACAUGGCUUGAGUACAGGAGAGGUGAGUGGAAUUCCCAGUGUAGAGGUAAAAUUCGUAGAUAUUGGGAGGAACACCAGUGGCGAAGGCGGCUCACUGGCCUGUAACUGACACUGAGGCGCGAAAGCGUGGGGAGCAAACAGGAUUAGAUACCCCGGUAGUCC
rnacentral:rRNA from 1 species